rnacentral:rRNA from 1 species
GACGAACGCUGGCGGCGUGCUUAACACAUGCAAGUCGAACGGGCCUGUCUUCUUUUUUGGGGGUGGGUUGAGUGGCGAACGGGUGAGUAUCACGUGAGUAACCUGCCCUUCGGUCCUGGAUAACCGCUUGAAAGGGCGGCUAAUACGGGGUGGUCCGGUUGGUCCGCAUGGGCUGGUCGGGAUAGAUUCACUGUUUUUGGUGUUUCGGCGGGGGAUGGGCUCGCGGCCUAUCAGCUUGUUGGUGGGGUGAUGGCCUACCAAGGCGGUGACGGGUAGCCGGCCUGAGAGGGUGGGCGGCCACACUGGGACUGAGAUACGGCCCAGACUCCUGCGGGAGGCAGCAGUGGGGGGUAUUGCACAAUGGGCGGAAGCCUGAUGCAGCGACGUCGCGUGAGGGAUGGAGGCCUUCGGGUUGUGAACCUCUGGUUCCGGUGGUGAAGGCCCUGUCCGUGUGGUGGGGUUGACGGUAGCCGGGGAUGAAGCGCCGGCUAACUACGUG